AACCCUUCAAGUUUUCUCAAUUGCCUGACACCAUCUUUACAUCCCAUGUGCCAUCAUCGUUGGUUCUCCUUCGCGCUCUCUCUCUAUCCUUAUUCUUGCUCUCUGUUGGCGACUGCUUCACAUAAGCUGCGGCCUGUGAUUUCUGACGACGGGGAGGAACUCGGAUUGAGGUAGUUUCGUCGUUUUCCUGGCAUCCCCAAUCUAGCGAUGAUGAGGAAUCAACGGUGACUUGGGAGAAGAAUUCAAUCGAGCGAUGAUGAGGUGUUGCCUGGGUAGAUCGAGCAACCUGAGGGUUUAGUAAAGUGAGGAAUCAACGGUGACUUGGGAGCUAGGAUUCAAUGGAUUCCAGCGAUCGGUCAACCUUUCUAUUAUCUUCUCUUAUUCAUAGGGGAACAGAGAUAAAUAGGUUGGUGAAGGUGAAGCAUUGGGUUUCACGGCGGCCAAGGUGUGAUGGACUUUUGUAUGAUUUCUUUAGAAAAACUUGAUAUUUGGCAACCUUGAUUCUGAAAUUUACAGACCUUCCAUCAACAUACAUGCAAGAAUAGAGUACCAAAAAGAUUAUCAAAUGCAAGUUGUCAAUGAUAUGCUUGCAAGCCGAAAGCCACAUCCAUAAUCAUUGACUGGACAUGCGGAAAACAGUGUCACCUCCAUUAAUAAGGGCAUGCAAGAAUGUCAAAAAAGUUAAAAUCGAAGAUAAAUGGUAAGUACUAAGUACCUUGCAUAACUAAUUCCAUAUUAUUGCAAGUUUUAAUGUCAUUUAAACUUUACCGCUUCACAUUAUAUUAGAUUUCAAUUUUAAGUUCUCUUUUUCUUCUAACACAUUUUGCAACAGAAAGAAUCCAAUAAAGAUUACCUUCUGGUUAGAAACAUUGUUUCCAUAUAAAAAUGAAACUGCAGUUGGCUAGGUGUUGGCAGUUACAGCAACCUUGAUAACACAGUACCUAACUAAGUUUUAACAUUCUUGGCUUUAUUACACCUCUACACAGAUGUCAUAAAUCCAACCUCAUUACCAUGGCUUUACACAUCUGCACAGAUGUCUUAAAUCCAACCCCAUUACCAAAUACAUUAUCUAUAUCUUAAAUGGAAAUGUUGGUGGCAUUUCCAUUCUUAGUCCCUCCUUUUACUUGCAUUUAAUACUUUCAUCCUUAUCAUUUUCUUUGUUUGUUUGGUCUUCCUUACGUUCAAUGGUCCGCUUUCACCACUGCAAACAGCCGCCGCCACACCACUGCACGAUCGCGUGUUAAACCAUUGGUCCAUUCACACAAGGCGGUGCUUCUUAAAGACCAUAAAUAAGGUUGUUGCAUCGACUGUGGCCUUCGAUUCCAACGAGACGAAGCAAGUGCCAAGAGAGCGAUUACGGCGGCGGUGGGAAGGGAGAGAGAGACACAGUCUCGAGGCUCAAAUGGAACCAUUGUCGCUGCCAAAGUGUCGAAUGUAGCAUUUUCGUACAUUUCUAGGUUGAUGAUGAUAGCAGACGAUGGUGGAGGGCGGCGGCAGGAGGUGGUCUAUGGCAUGAGUAGCUGUUGGUCUACAAAAUACAAUCUGAUUGAGUUUUCGUUCUUCUAUUUGAUAAUCGUUUGACCGAAUUUUUUUCUUUGGGGCUGCAUUUCUUCACAUGGAUUCUUCAUCAACUGUGAUCAAGAAGAAGGCCCAAGUAAGAAAACCAAGAUCGAAGCCCCACGCCAAUCUCACAAAAAGCAUUGUAUGCAAUUGUUUUCGCCAGAAUACGUAGAAGAUGUCAAAAUACAGACAUUGUAAUCUAACCGCCAAAUUUAAGGUAAAGACUAAAGAAAUACCAUCCCAGCCGCGUAGCACGGUUCGUUUAGACAUAGGUGGAAGUUGCGAUGUUGAUGGUUCUUUGUAAGCGCUUACACAGAGCAGCAGGUUAAGGCACUGAUGGGUUAGUGUUUUUACAAUUACCAUUGGUAUUCCCUUUAUUUUCUUGGGAAUCUUGGUUGGAUUUUUGCUACUGACAGUGGGACUGCUGAUACCAUCAAAGAGACCAUACUUACACUUUAUAGUGAGUGAUGUGGUUAAAACUUAUUACAAACUUUAAUAGUGAUUUUAUUUUAUACACUUCAAUAAACGUUUAUAGUCUACAUGAUUCUUGCGUUAAUAAUCUAUUGUAUAUCCACAUGUCAUUUGGAGACAGUGAACCAUGUCAAGUUAAAAGAAACUGAAAGAAACAUGGUAACAGUUAUGAAACUUCUACAACACAAUUGAAAAUAACCUGCUAAAAAGAGACUAUUCGUAUAGCUUUCAAAGUUGUCUUUAAUAACAAUUUACGAGCUCUUUUGCACUUACCAUUAGUUAUUUAGAGAUCACAUGUAUGUUUACCGAGUAGUUCAUGGUUUAGCGGCUUAGCGUGCCGCAACGCGCGCGCGCGGGGGGCAUAAUACUAGUAAUAAUUAAAGAAAAACUACACUAGCAAUCCAACAAUAUUAAAAAAAAACUUUAUUAACUUUUCGAAGGGGUAUGGUCCUAAAUAGUGCGCACAGCCACAUGCGUGGAUACCAAACCCACGAUUAAUACACAAACACUCAGCAAGCCUUAGAGUUUCCUGCAGGAGAACAUUCGCGCAUGUGCAUGGCGACAACUCACAUAAAGGACGAAUAAUACAUGUGGCAGCAGCAUGCAACUAAUCAGGUUGUAGCAGGCUCUGCAAAUACACCCCCACGAUGGACAAAUCGUGCAUGGGACAACAAGCACAAAAGGAUGAGUACGUGACACUGAUCAGUCGUGCCAGACGCUGCCACACGAUCUCCGUUGACGGUUGAUGACAAGCCCAACAAAAGGUACACUUGGACGACAUCGUGUAGCCAAUCACGUUGCGCCAUGCCGACUCCACCUCUGCAGACACUACCUAUCUGGCUAGAGGGAACCAAGUGGAUAUUCAUCGACAGUAAUAGCUGGCCUAUUGCACAUAAGCCCACGUUUAUCCUCUCCCUUAUUUGACUAUAAAUACCAGACUCCUUAAAAGACUCGCUCUCGGAACAACAUUAGUCAUUGAUCAAGGAAAGAUUAAGGUUUAACAGUCUUGUCGAUACUACCUCUUUGGUUCCAGCCCUGCAUUAGAACCAAUGUUUCUUCAUUGGCACCAUCUGUGUUUUUACUACAAACAACUUUCAUCUUUUCUCUCUUCGUUUCGAUCCAAUGGCUGAUCAACCUCCUGCAUUUCCACUUUUCGGUUCGAACUCUAAAUCUACAGCCACAGGGACCACCUCGCACCGUUUUGAAACCCAUGACAAGGAAUACGAACACGUGGAGUACAAUACUGGCACAUUCCAUCAUGAAAAAGGAAGCGUCGCACAAACAAACCAAGAUCCAGAUGUCAUACCGCUGAAUCAAGUCGCGCAACUCUCACCUUUGCUACCAGAGGGAAAAACUCCCACCUCAUUGUACAUAAAGUCACAAGCAACACUAAAUGUUGUGUACGUGCAACAAUAUGAAUGCACAACUCGAGAGUUAACCUAUGGUUCACCUCCCCUUGACCGUACACUGUCACACGUGUCAGCCGGACAUGGGAACCACAACCGACAAAACAGGAACAAAGACUUCCAUCACAUUAUGAGCACCACGCGCAACACACAUGCUGACACCGGAAGACACGAUGAUGCCCAAUAUGAGCAUCUUCGUAGGCAGACUCCUAUCCAGCACCGUCUAGGUCCCCGUGUAAUUCCUGACGAGUGGGACACAAUGACAAAGGAUUUCUAUCCUACAUAUCAAGAAGCAUACAACACAAGUGUUUACACCAAUAGGAUGCAAGGUAACCAUGCAACUUACAAACCGAAUGCUCGCGCAACAUACAAUUCGGAAGCUGAAGACAUCUACUCUUUGGUGUACAGACCAGCGGGCGGCUGCCGAACAGCCAAACUUCGUUCCAAAAAUUGCUCUGGCCAUGAUGGAAAAGGCAAAACUCUCAUCCAAUGUUGGGAAGUUUAUGGGGUUGUUAGACCCAGAUGACCAUAUCUGGCUGUUAACCAGCGCAGGGAUGAUCAUAUAUUGGACCCAUUUUAUAUGGUGCCAUCUAUUUAUCCAGACACUUACUGGCGCAACUUGCGCAUGGUUUGACAAUUUACCGGUUGACAAGAUAGAAAAUUGGACAAAUUUGCAAACCAAGUUUCUACAUUUAGGAUACAAACUUUAUUGUGUAAAAAUGUUAAAGCUAAGUAUCUAACCCUAACAUUAGUGAGCAAAAAUCAUCACCAACAAUUUGUACUUUAUCAUCACAUGCAACAUUUAUCUUGCAUAAUGCUCUCAAUCAUCAUGUUCAAACAUGGUCUGAAUAUUCUACAU